rnacentral:lncRNA from 1 species
AGUGAUCUUUUGGUGUGGCGUAGCGGUAGAGGCACGAUACAAGGGGUUUCGUGUUCGUGCAACAGCGGCGGCCUGCAACAGCGACAACGACCGACAGUGGCGACGGUGAUGGCGAGAUCCUUCAGAGCUUGCAACAGUGGUUGGCGCGACAAGUUCUUCUCCCUUCGCAUUCAACGUAUGGUGGAGGUUAAGCUCGCGACGGUGCUUUUGGGUGUCACGUUUGCCGCCGGCGAAGGACGACGGUUUUGGUUUCGCAUUCUGUUUGCUCGCCGCUAUGGGUUUUCUUCUUCGUUAGGUCUUUACCUUUCUCGUUGUGGAAUAGAGGCUUUGCUCUUCGUUCUGGUGUAUUGGCUGGUUCAGGUAUGGUUCGUGACGAAAAGGAGUAGCACACCUGGUUCUGUUGUUCUUGCAGGUGGUGGAGGCUUCUUUCUACAACAUCUGUGAAUCAAAUUCCUUGUCCC